rnacentral:rRNA from 1 species
AUUGAACGCUGGCGGCAGGCCUAACACAUGCAAGUCGAGCGAGAGGCGGACGGGUGAGUAAUGUAUGGGGAUCUGCGCGAUAGAGGGGGAUAACUGGUGGAAACGGUGUAUACUACCGCAUAAUGCCGGAUGGACCGAUAGGGGAUUCGCUAGUAGGGGGGGUAAAGGCUCACCUAGGCGACGAUGUCUAGCUGGUCUGAGAGGAUGAUCAGCCACACUGGGACUGAGACACGGCCCAGACUCCUACGGGAGGCAGCAGUGGGGAAUAUUGCACAAUGGGCGCAAGCCUGAUGCAGCCAUGCCGCGUGUAUGAAGAAGGCCUUAGGGUUGUAAAGUACUUUCAGCGGGGAGGCGUUACCCGCAGAAGAAGCACCGGCUAACUCCGUGCCAGCAGCCGCGGUAAUAC